rnacentral:lncRNA from 1 species
GCGCUAGACUUACCGCAGGUUUAGGGAGGGGAGAGAGCUCUAGUUUCGUCGCUGCUCCUGAAUUGAUCGUUCUUUUUUCUCUCUCUCUACCCGCGCCACCUUGCUGCAUCGGAGGGAUUGCUAACAGAGAAAUUAGUAGCCAGCAAGAACGCGGAUCAUGAACGCGAAUCAUGCGCCCGGUCGGUAGAUUUCUUUGAUCCGUCUUGUUUGUUCACCUUGCUGUAUAGAAAGAUGAGAGAUCAGUGAUCGGAACCGAUGCAUUCUGAGUUAGAGAGUAUCUGUUCAUCUGCACGGGGUGCAAAUAUCAGUUUCUGUACCACCAUGGAGAUUACUAUCUGAAAUGGAGUCUGCUUUUCUCAUUUGGCUGAUCAAAACUGAUCACUACUCACUGCAUGUGCUCGGUCACCGGAUCGCAUCAUGUGAUGUUUUUGGAGAAAUGUGUG